rnacentral:tRNA from 1 species
GGGGUUGUGGCUCAGUGGUAGAGUGCUUGCCUGACAUGUAUGAGGUCCUGGGUUUGAUCCCCAACACCACA